UUUAGGUCAACAGAUAAUGUGCAGACAUCAAUGGCAAUGCAACAGAAGGACAAAGGAAGAACACCAGAUAUUAUUGAGUCAACCUAUAUUGACAAGCAGAAAGCAGAUGAAAAACGUACUGAGAUUCCGCCUGUUCCUGGAGCCUUUUACGAUAUUGGUUGCGGAAUUCAACUCUACUCAACUUCGGAUGUCUCUAACAUUAUCCAG